rnacentral:rRNA from 1 species
GGGCCCGCACAAGCGGUGGAGUAUGUGGUUUAAUUCGAUGCAACGCGAAGAACCUUACCAGGGUUUGACAUCCUGCGAAUCUCUUGGAAACGAGAGAGUGCCUUCGGGAACGCAGUGACAGGUGGUGCAUGGCUGUCGUCAGCUCGUGUCGUGAGAUGUUGGGUUAAGUCCCGCAACGAGCGCAACCCACGUCUUUAGUUGCCAGCAUUUAGUUGGGCACUCUAGAGAGACUGCCGGUGAUAAACCGGAGAAGGUGUGGAUGACGUCAAGUCAUCAUGCCCCUUACAUCUGGGCUACACACGUACUACAAUGGCAGGUACAAAGGGUUGCAAGACGGCGACGUGGAGCUAAUCCCAUAAAGCCUGCUC